rnacentral:rRNA from 1 species
UACGUAGGGUGCAAGCGUUGUCCGGAAUUACUGGGCGUAAAGAGUUCGUAGGCGGUUUGUCGCGUCGUUUGUGAAAACCAGCAGCUCAACUGCUGGCUUGCAGGCGAUACGGGCAGACUUGAGUACUGCAGGGGAGACUGGAAUUCCUGGUGUAGCGGUGAAAUGCGCAGAUAUCAGGAGGAACACCGGUGGCGAAGGCGGUUCUCUGGGCAGUAACUGACGCUGAGGAGCGAAAGCGUGGGGAGCGAACAGG